rnacentral:rRNA from 1 species
UACAGAGGGUGCAAGCGUUAAUCGGAAUUACUGGGCGUAAAGCGUGCGUAGACGGUUAUGUAAGUCAGAUGUGAAAGCCCCGGGCCCAACCUGGGAAUUGCAUUUGAGACUGCAUAGCUAGGGUGCGGAAGAGGGAAGCGGAAUUUCCGGUGUAGCGGUGAAAUGCGUAGAUAUCGGAAGGAACACCAGUGGCGAAAGCGGCUUCCUGGUCCAGCACCGACGUUCAGGCACGAAAGCGUGGGGAGCAAACAGG